rnacentral:lncRNA from 1 species
ACAUCUAAUGUUUGCUCGAGCCCAUAUAUCUAUCAACUUGAAUAUUUGAAAAGAUGAAACAUAAUCCCCUAUCGAAAGUAGUAGACAUCUUUUAAAUAUUCAUGAACCCACCAACCUAUCAACUAGGUUUUCGAGUUGGACAUUAUCACCCUGUCCGAGUUGGACAUUAUCACCUUGUCCAUCUAGAAGCUCAAAGUUUUUGAGUUGGACAUUAUCACCGAAGGCAUUGCACCUUAGAAAUAAUUUGCCAUGAUCUUUUUUUUAUCUUUUCUUAAUAAAAAUAUUCUUUAGUUAAGCAACAUUUAGCAAAUGA